GACGAACGCUGGCGGCGUGCUUAACACAUGCAAGUCGAACGGAAAGGCCCUGCUUUUGUGGGGUGCUCGAGUGGCGAACGGGUGAGUAACACGUGAGUAACCUGCCCUUGACUUUGGGAUAACUUCAGGAAACUGGGGCUAAUACCGGAUAGGAGCUCCUGCUGCAUGGUGGGGGUUGGAAAGUUUCGGCGGUUGGGGAUGGACUCGCGGCUUAUCAGCUUGUUGGUGGGGUAGUGGCUUACCAAGGCUUUGACGGGUAGCCGGCCUGAGAGGGUGACCGGCCACAUUGGGACUGAGAUACGGCCCAGACUCCUACGGGAGGCAGCAGUGGGGAAAAUUGCACAAUGGGCGGAAGCCUGACGCAGCAACGCCGCGUGCGGGAUGACGGCCUUCGGGUUGUAAACCGCUUUCGCCUGUGACGAAGCGUGAGUGACGGUAAUGGGUAAAGAAGCACCGGCUAACUACGUG
rnacentral:rRNA from 1 species